UACGUAGGUGGCAAGCGUUGUCCGGAUUUAUUGGGCGUAAAGCGCGCGUAGGCGGCGAGAUUAGUCUGAUGUGAAAGCCCCCGGCUCAACCGGGGAAGGUCAUUGGAAACUGGGUCACUUGAGUGCAGAAGAGGAAAGCGGAAUUCCAUGUGUAGCGGUGAAAUGCGUAGAUAUAUGGAGGAACACCAGUGGCGAAGGCGGCUUUCUGGUCUGUAACUGACGCUGAGGCUCGAAAGCGUGGGUAGCAAACAGG
rnacentral:rRNA from 1 species